rnacentral:rRNA from 1 species
GGGCCCGCACAAGCAGCGGAGCAUGUGGUUUAAUUCGAAGCAACGCGAAGAACCUUACCUGGACUUGACAUCCCCUGAAUAGUGCAGAGAUGCAUGAAGCCCUUCGGGGCAGGGAGACAGGUGGUGCAUGGUUGUCGUCAGCUCGUGUCGUGAGAUGUUAGGUUAGGUCCUGCAACGAGCGCAACCCCUAUCAUUAGUUGCUACCAUUAAGUUGAGCACUCUAGUGAGACUGCCCGGGUUAACCGGGAGGAAGGUGGGGAUGACGUCAAAUCAUCAUGCCCCUUAUGUCCAGGGCUACACACGUGCUACAAUGGUAGGUACAGAGAGAUGCAAGACCGCGAGGUGGAGCUAAACUCAAAAACCUAUCCCAGUUCGGAUUGUAGGCUGCAACUCGCCUACAUGAAGCCGGAGUUGCUAGUAAUCGCGAAUCAGAAUGUCGCGGUGAAUACGUUCCCGGGCCUUGUACACACCGCCCGUCACACCAUGAGAGCUGGCAACACCCGAAGUCCGUGAGGUAACCUGUAAAGGAGCCAGCGGCCGAAGGUGGGGUUAGUGAUUGGGGUGAAGUCGUAACAAGGUAGCCGUAGGAGAACCUGCGGCUGGAUCAC